rnacentral:rRNA from 1 species
AGAAUCAACGCUGGCGGCGUGCCUAACACAUGCAAGUCGCACGAGAAAGGGGAGCAAUACCUGAGUACAGUGGCGCACGGGUGAGUAACACGUGAAUAAUCUACCUCCGAGUGGGGAAUAACUGAGAGAAAUCUUAGCUAAUACCGCAUAAUACCCACGGGUCAAAGCAGCAAUGCGCUUGGAGAGGAGUUCGCGGCAGAUUAGUUAGUUGGCGGGGUAAUGGCCCACCAAGACGAUGAUCUGUAUCCGGCCUGAGAGGGCGCACGGACACACUGGAACUGAAACACGGUCCAGACUCCUACGGGAGGCAGCAGUGGGGAAUUUUGCGCAAUGGGGGAAACCCUGACGCAGCAACGCCGCGUGGAGGAUGAAGCCCCUUGGGGUGUAAACUCCUUUCGAUCGGGAAGAUAAUGACGGUACCGAUAUAAGAAGCCCGGCUAACUUCGUAGCCAGCAGCCGC